rnacentral:rRNA from 1 species
GACGAACGCUGGCGGCGUGCUUAACACAUGCAAGUCGAACGCUGAAGCUUGGUGCUUGCACUGGGUGGAUGAGUGGCGAACGGGUGAGUAAUACGUGAGUAACCUGCCCUUGACUCUGGGAUAAGCCUGGGAAACUGGGUCUAAUACUGGAUACGACAUGUCACCGCAUGGUGGUGUGUGGAAAGGGUUUUACUGGUUUUGGAUGGGCUCACGGCCUAUCAGCUUGUUGGUGGGGUAAUGGCUCACCAAGGCGACGACGGGUAGCCGGCCUGAGAGGGUGACCGGCCACACUGGGACUGAGACACGGCCCAGACUCCUACGGGAGGCAGCAGUGGGGAAUAUUGCACAAUGGGCGGAAGCCUGAUGCAGCGACGCCGCGUGAGGGAUGACGGCCUUCGGGUUGUAAACCUCUUUCAGCACGGAAGAAGCGAAGGUGACGGUACGUGCAGAAGAAGCGCCGGCUAACUACGUG